UUUGUCCUACGGGAGGCAGCAGUGAGGAAUAUUGGUCAAUGGGCGCGAGCCUGAACCAGCCAAGUCGCGUGAGGGAAGACGGUCCUAUGGAUUGUAAACCUCUUUUGUCGGGGAGCAAAAGACGCCACGCGUGGCGUUCCGAGAGUACCCGAAGAAAAAGCAUCGGCUAACCCCGUGCCAGCAGCCGCGGUAAUACGGUGGAUGCGAGCGUUAUCCGGAUUUAUUGGGUUUAAAGGGUACGCAGGCGGAAGAUCAAGUCAGCGGUAAAAUUGAGAGGCUCAACCUCUUCGAGCCGUUGAAACUGG
rnacentral:rRNA from 1 species